rnacentral:lncRNA from 1 species
CUGGGUCAUGCCAUCUGGUUGCCUCCAUCCACUGCUCCCUAUUAAUUUCACCUGGCUGGCACACCGUGCUCGUUGACUCCCAGCCUCAAAACUGAGUUGACAGUCCCUGUUCAGGUUAUGACUGAAUUAUUGACAUACCUUUGAGAGGAACGUUUCUGAAGAUAGGUGCCCUCAAUCUCUACCCAGUAAACACAUGCCUCCUCCUUUUACUUCCUCAAUGGUGUCUUGUUUCUACAGCAUUUCCCUUUACUCUCUCUACGCUCCUCCCAUGCUCUUUUGCCCUUGAACCCAAUCAUUUUGUGAAUGAAUGAAUAAUUACAUGAGUGAAUGAACCAGCUGCUUACUCGUCAUUCUUUUGGAACCCUGAUAUUCUUACCUUUCCGAACCUGUUUAUCUUUUCCCAACCUGUUUUUCUAAUCCAUUUUUUCCCUCCGUUUGCCUUCUGAACUAUUUAGCUAUUUACCCCCUACUGGUUUUCUUGCUCUUCUUUGAGUACGGACUCAGUGGCAGCAGCUGUGGAAGUCCUGGAGGUCAGCCCUUCCCAGAAUUCCCUCCGGCUCGUCUUCGUUUCUCUAGGCGGGAUCUCUGUGUCUCCUCUGAGAGCACAGCUUCAAACAGGAGGAUUCUUGACCACGGAGCCACCAGAGAAGCUGGAAACGCCUGUAGCUAAGGGCUAUCUUUUCUCUGACAUCUAUGUUCUCACCUGAUUUUCUGAAUAUCACCAGAUGGGGCAUAAUCAUAAUGAUGAACAUUUAUGAAGAACAUAUUCUGGAGACAAUGUAUCAUUCAUGAUUACUUCUUUCAAUUCUCAUUGACUGUUAUUAUACCCAUUGUGCAGAUAAGGAAACUGAAGCCACAAAAACUAAAUAGAAGCUAGAGAAAUGCUCUGGACUAGCCAUAAGACUCUAGAGGAUUGUGCUGCCUUAAUUGCCCUGACUUGAAUUGUAUAUCUUUGUACCUGAAGACAGGACUUGGCUUAGCUGCUUGGAAUCAAGAUAACCUGCUCCAUAUUAGACUU